AUGUCCGGCUCCGGCGGGCCCUCAGGCCGCGGCUCCGCAGGCGGCACUCGGAGCUUCGACUUCGGCACGGACGACGUGCUCUGCUCCUACGACGACUUCGCCGCCCCCUCCGAGCCCAAGCGACCCGAUCCAGUCGACAAGGAUUUUCAUGAGAGCAGAUUUGGGAGACCAUCUGUUAAAGUUUAUGAACAAGAGAGUUAUGCCAAAGAGGAUGUACUUUCUGCUGUUGAGAAAUGCAUGAAGAAAUAUGCUGAUAAUUUGCUAAGGUCUCUUGAAGGAAUCACCAGCAGGCUUUCACAACUGGAGAUUUAUUGCUAUAAGCUUGAGAGGUCCAUAGGCGAGCUUCGAGCUGAUGUGCUUCGUGAUGAAACUGAUCUAAGAUUAAAAUCUCUUGAGAAACAUCUACAUGAAGUGCACAGGUCUAUUCAAAUCCUUCGAGACAAGCAAGAGUUAGCGGAUACUCAGAAGGAGCUAGCCAAGUUUCAACUUACACACGAUGAAUCUAAAAAGAAAGAAGAUGUGCUGACGCCUUCUUUCCCUGAGCCAAAGAAGCCUGAAGAAAAGCGAGAUGCAGCAAGUCAGCAGCUGGCACUUGCUUUACCUCAUCAGGUGAACUCAUCGGCACUUGUACCUAGAGCUUCUGGACCAGUCCAACAGUACAAUGAUCAACCUGUGCAGCAGACAGCCCCUAGCUCUCUUGUACCGCAGCAGGACCGUUAUGCUGUUAGCCAAGCCAUUGUAUACUACCCACAACACCAAGCUCCAGGCAACCAGGACACACAGGGUCAGCAAGUACAACAAGAGGUGCAAUACCUGCCAUUAAGGCCUCAAGCUCAAGAUGUCCAUGCUUCAUCCCAGCCUCAGUCAGCAAAUCAAUCCCAGCCCCAGUCUUACACUCCUUACCAGCAGCAGUGGCAGCAGCAGCAGCAACCCUCUCGUUCAUCUCCUGCACCAGUGGCUCAGCAACAGCAGCCUUUCUCCCAGCCAUUUCCUCCACCUGUGCAGCAGCCCCAACUAUCUAAUGCUCACCAGUUUCCAACACAACCAGCGCAGCAGUCCCAGCUGCCUAAUGUUCAGCAGUUUCCAGCACAACCAGCGCAGCAGUCCCAGUUGUCUAAUGCUCAACAGUUCCCUCCACCACAGCUGCAACCACAGCAAUCCAACCCUCAUCUUCCUCAGACAGCACAACCACAACAUCCUCAUGUGCAAACUCAGAUGAGACCCUCCACUCCCCCACCAAACUACUCUGGUGGCUAUCCACCCCACCAGCCAUUGAACCCAUCCCCUGAAACUCUGCCUGGCAGCGCGGCUAUGCAAGGACCAUACAACACCGUUGCUCCAUCAGGUGGGAGUCAUUCGGAAGUGCAAUAUUCAUACGGUGGACCUGGCAUCCCACCGUCUCAGCCACCACCGCAGCACAGCAUGCAAAGGCAGCAGCUUCCUCCUCCAGGCCAGGGUUCUUUUGGGCCGCCUCCAAGUAAGGGGGCCUAUCCUCCGCAGUAUGCACCACAGGGGCAUCCGCAGGGGGGUUACAACACAUCGUAUGGCGGCUACCCGCCCAAUGGUCCUUCUGCAGCCCAGGCACCACAGAUGCCUCCAGGUGGUGCUGGUGUGAGCCAUCCAGGGUCAUCGCAUCAUCACAUGAUGCGUGGCCAUCCAUAUGGAGAUAUGAUUGAGAAGGCAAACACCAUGGGAUAUCCAAGGGACCAGGUGCUGAAUGUGAUCCAGAGGAUGACCGAGAGCGGGCAGCAGAUAGAUUUCAAUGCGUUGCUCGACAGGCUGAACGAAUCAGGGUCCGGAGCACCCCCUCGUCCGUGGUGA
rnacentral:rRNA from 1 species